rnacentral:rRNA from 1 species
GCGUUAAGUUGCAGGGUAUAGACCCGAAACCCGGUGAUCUAGCCAUGGGCAGGUUGAAGGUUGGGUAACACUAACUGGAGGACCGAACCGACUAAUGUUGAAAAAUUAGCGGAUGACCUGUGGCUGGGGGUGAAAGGCCAAUCAAACCGGGAGAUAGCUGGUUCUCCCCGAAAGCUAUUUAGGUAGCGCCUCGUGAAUUCAUCUCCGGGGGUAGAGCACUGUUUCGGCUAGGGGGCCAUCCCGGCUUACCAACCCGAUGCAAACUGCGAAUACCGGAGAAUGUUAUCACGGGAGACACACGGCGGGUGCUAACGUCCGUCGUGAAGAGGGAAACAACCCAGACCGCCAGCUAAGGUCCCAAAGUCAUGGUUAAGUGGGAAACGAUGUGGGAAGGCCCAGACAGCCAGGAUGUUGGCUUAGAAGCAGCCAUCAUUUAAAGAAAGCGUAAUAGCUCACUGGUCGAGUCGGCCUGCGCGGAAGAUGUAACGGGGCUAAACCAUGCACCGAAGCUGCGGCAGCGACACUGUGUGUUGUUGGGUAGGGGAGCGUUCUGUAAGCCUGUGAAGGUGGCCUGUGAGGGUUGCUGGAGGUAUCAGAAGUGCGAAUGCUGACAUAAGUAACGAUAAAGCGGGUGAAAAGCCCGCUCGCCGGAAGACCAAGGGUUCCUGUCCAACGUUAAUCGGGGCAGGGUGAGUCGACCCCUAAGGCGAGGCCGAAAGGCGUAGUCGAUGGGAAACGGGUUAAUAUUCCCGUACUUGGUGUUACUGCGAAGGGGGGACGGAGAAGGCUAUGUUGGCCGGGCGACGGUUGUCCCGGUUUAAGCGUGUAGGUGUGUGUUCCAGGUAAAUCCGGUUCACUUUAACACUGAGGCGUGAUGACGAGGCACUACGGUGCUGAAGCAACAAAUGCCCUGCUUCCAGGAAAAGCCUCUAAGCAUCAGGUAACAUCAAAUCGUACCCCAAACCGACACAGGUGGUCAGGUAGAGAAUACCAAGGCGCUUGAGAGAACUCGGGUGAAGGAACUAGGCAAAAUGGUGCCGUAACUUCGGGAGAAGGCACGCUGACACGUAGGUGAAGUGAUUUACUCAUGGAGCUGAAGUCAGUCGAAGAUACCAGCUGGCUGCAACUGUUUAUUAAAAACACAGCACUGUGCAAACACGAAAGUGGACGUAUACGGUGUGACGCCUGCCCGGUGCCGGAAGGUUAAUUGAUGGGGUCAGCGCAAGCGAAGCUCCUGAUCGAAGCCCCGGUAAACGGCGGCCGUAACUAUAACGGUCCUAAGGUAGCGAAAUUCCUUGUCGGGUAAGUUCCGACCUGCACGAAUGGCGUAAUGAUGGCCAGGCUGUCUCCACCCGAGACUCAGUGAAAUUGAACUCGCUGUGAAGAUGCAGUGUACCCGCGGCAAGACGGAAAGACCCCGUGAACCUUUACUAUAGCUUGACACUGAACAUUGAGCCUUGAUGUGUAGGAUAGGUGGGAGGCUUUGAAGUGUGGACGCCAGUCUGCAUGGAGCCGGCCUUGAAAUACCACCCUUUAAUGUUUGAUGUUCUAACGUGGACCCGUGAUCCGGGUUGCGGACAGUGUCUGGUGGGUAGUUUGACUGGGGCGGUCUCCUCCUAAAGAGUAACGGAGGAGCACGAAGGUUGGCUAAUCCUGGUCGGACAUCAGGAGGUUAGUGCAAUGGCAUAAGCCAGCUUGACUGCGAGCGUGACGGCGCGAGCAGGUGCGAAAGCAGGUCAUAGUGAUCCGGUGGUUCUGAAUGGAAGGGCCAUCGCUCAACGGAUAAAAGGUACUCCGGGGAUAACAGGCUGAUACCGCCCAAGAGUUCAUAUCGACGGCGGUGUUUGGCACCUCGAUGUCGGCUCAUCACAUCCUGGGGCUGAAGUAGGUCCCAAGGGUAUGGCUGUUCGCCAUUUAAAGUGGUACGCGAGCUGGGUUUAGAACGUCGUGAGACAGUUCGGUCCCUAUCUGCCGUGGGCGCUGGAGAACUGAGGGGGGCUGCUCCUAGUACGAGAGGACCGGAGUGGACGCAUCACUGGUGUUCGGGUUGUCAUGCCAAUGGCACUGCCCGGUAGCUAAAUGCGGAAGAGAUAAGUGCUGAAAGCAUCUAAGCACGAAACUUGCCCCGAGAUGAGUUCU